UUCCUCCCUCUCUCUUUCUCUUUACGUUUUUUUUUUUUUUUGCAUCAAUUCUUGAGAAAGGAAGAAAAAAAAAGCUUGCGUUGAUGCUUGGAAACCUUGUGAGGAAGAUCGGAAAAUACGGAGAUAAAGAAAUUUUGAUGAAACUCUGACGUCAAAAGUGGAGGAGCAUUAAAAGAAUCUAUUGAUAUGUUUGAAGUGGUACAAGAAAAUUGAGAAGUGUCAUUGGAAUCGUCAGAUAAGUUAUGUUGGCGUAGCAUAAGUUGCUUGUGUAAUAAAGCAUUGUCGAGGUUAUUAGAGUUUUGAGUUGUGGUGGAAUUGCAACGAUGUCGUAGACGUGACAUAGCGAUGAUUUUAGAUUGGUAAUCGGAAGCAGCUUGAUGCCACUCGUGGAUUCUCAGUACCCAAUCACCCUUAGUUAGAUUAAUGAUCAUCUUAUGAUUUUAUUUAAGAAUUUUAUUUAUCCUCCCUUUCGUAUUGCAAUGUUUUUGUCGCAAUGAAGUUUAUGUAUUUGAAACAUUUGUAAUUUUUUUAGUCAACGGGAAUUGUCUUGUAAGUAAGUCUGUUGUGUCGAAACCAUUUUGUAUAAUGAAACAAUUAUUCUCGUCAUCA